AGCUCCCUGCCAGCCUCCCCGGUGUCCCCCCUCGGGCUCUGCACUGUUCUCAGGCUGGGGACGAGAUCCAUCACUUCCCGUGGCUCCCUGGGUCUGGACCAGCAGCCCCGCAGGCCUGCUGAGCUCCCCCCUGGGUGCUGGGUCAGGAGGGCUCUGAGGGAGCACAGGAAAGAACAAGCAUGCCACAGGUGUGGCCGGAUUCCAGCAAAUCAGCAUCAGAAAAUUCACUGCCUUUUGGAAGACUGAGGAGCCUGGUGAACCCCGAAGCACUAACCUUGUACUCGGAUGCCUUAGUUCACACAGUGGCCGGACUGGCGUCGGGCAAACGCUAGCCGAGGAGAAACGCGACGGGCAGAGGCAAACAUCCAGAAAGAAGGCCAAAGCUGAGGAACCCAGAGUGCAUCGAGAAGAGAUCAGCCAAUUGCUGGACUGAAAAUGGCUCAGCCUGGAGCAUUCCUUUGAACAAUCUGACCAAGCCAGUUCCGCCCAACUUCCCCAGCAUGUACAGGAAGCGGAAGUGGGGACGUUUGCCCACCAGUGCAUCAGUGAGACAUCCCAGGAGGCUUUAUGGCUCUGCUUCAACAUCCCAGAGACAGGUACCAGACAACUAGGCACCAUGCCUGUAGCUUCAAGCCCACCACGAGCAUUCAAACUAGCUGAUCCUAAACAUUUCACCUUGCCCGCCUUUCCCACGAAACCCCAGUGAAGACGCUGACCUAAACCUAUCCCAUAGCCUUGUUUUUUGCUCCUGUUCGCACAAAUGGCUGUUCCAAGGGGCUCUCCACAGUGUGCCCACACCUCCUGUCUCUAGGACCUGAGUGUAGCAACUUUGCUUUCCUAAGCCUAUCCUGUCUUCUCUCAGGUCCAGAAUGGAGCGUAUUCUAAUCACUUCACGUCCCAGGUAGCUUUAAUGCUGGUACCUGACAGUGCCAGCACUAGCCUGUCUUGAGAUUACCUCCUUUGACGUGGGAGAGGUCAAAGGUUGACUCAGAUGCUCAAAGCCUGGUUAAAUAGCCCUCAGGUUCCUCACUAAAGGCUUGGCUCAAGUCUCCACUCCUGCUACACUCAGGACCAUGGUGAACUUCUCUCCCCUUCUUCCUUGCCUUCAGGUUCCAGGCAAUGUCUUCCCAAGUUGUGAUGAAAAACAUGGCAUACUCUGGGAAGAGCGCCAUCAAACAGAAAGGCGGGCUCAUUAUAACAUUCCGGUGCGUCUUCAUCCACCUUAUUCACUGCGUCUGGCACGGUAAAACUCCUGCUCUCCCCAGAGUUAAAAUGACCGUGAAAGGAAACUUGUGACUUAAUUCAGGACACUGAGGCAGCCUCAGCAGCUCAACUAACGACAUUCAGCAAAGAGAAUCACAGAACUGCUUCAGAAAGAUGGGAUGAGUGUGUCUGAAGCAAGGGGGAGGAUAAGGAGAAGGAUUAACAGCAGCGUGUCUUUUACUAUAAUAAUUUAUUAAACACUCACCAUAUUUUUUUAACACACCUCUUAUCUGAUCCACAGUUUGUUGUACCAACCUGUAAAAUAUAGGUGCUUUUCUAGAAAACAAAUUCCAGAUAAAAAAAAAAAAAGAAAAAUUUUAAAAUACCAGAGGAUCUGGUGACACCAGCACUGCCUGGUAAGGAGGCAGGAAGAGCUGGAAAAGAGUGGAGUCGGAGGGGCAGAGAGAAGAGGAGACAAUAGGGCCACGGACGGGAAGCGAACGGGCAAGUCUGAGGGAGAGGCCAAGAGCGGGGUCCUCCCCACAGACCUGUGCAUGGCGUUUAGGAAGAUGCCCUUGAAGUGGCAAGAGCUUCACUAGUUAGGCACGCAGGAGACCAAAAGGGAUUCAAGAAGAGAAUAGGAAGAAGUAAAAUUAGCGAGAAGGCCGAGCGUGCAGACUGGCCUUCAAAACCAAGUUAGAAUUCCGCUGUGAGCUCGGGAAAGUAGCGUCUGGCAACAGCGAAGAGCUGCAGCUGCCAAGGAGAAGAUGAAUGUGCCCGAGGGAGGGCACGGUCAGGGUCACAGUCACGGCGACACUGCAGAGGAAACCAGCAUGUCUGAGUGCGAAGCACAGGCAGCCGUACAUGCACCUCACAGGAGGGACGGCAGCACAGCCCGGUGCCCACCACCUCGGGCGGGACGCAUGCAGAAGGCAGGCUGUGCUUCCCGAAG
ensembl:lncRNA